CAGACAAUCCAGUUUCAUAGGAGCCCAGCUUCCUAAGCACAGAGUGACAGAAAAAAGGUCCCUGCCCCAGAGGCUUACAAUUACAUCUUAAAGAAUACUCAAACUUUUUAAAAACAGGCGUUUUGAACAUUGGGCUGGUUCUGUUGUCUCAAAGAAGGCAAUGAAAAGAUCCCUGCCAUAUCCCGGGCACAGUAUUACGUACUGCCCAAUCGAUGCAACGCCAUCUGCAAGCUAGAAACGUUACUUUUUGUUGAAGACAAAAGGGUUUUUUAAGGGAUGAGAAAAUCGUAUUCGGAAAAAAAAAUAUCGCCCCAAGCUGUUGGCCCUGAUCUGCUGCAGAAACAGAAAUGGAAAAGACGGAGAAAGGACGAACAGGCAGAGAAAGAUAAGAGACGGGGAGAAAAGGAGGGGGGAUCGACCCUAACGCAACGUGAUCCUGAGUAUAGGGAGCGGGAACUGAGCCACACGCGGACUGCCCUUCAGGGGCAUCUCUCCCUCCCACCCCCCUUGAAAUGGGGAGUUUUCAUGCACAUUCCCUGCCCUCCCUCCAUUUCUCUACUCAGGACUCCACCCUCCGUCCCCGCCUUGGGAGCUCUCUCACCGAUGCAGCCCCUACGCAGGGAUCCAAAAGGGGGGGGGUUGCGCGCCUUUGCAAAGGCGCAUUCCAACCUCAGGCCUGGAAGGCAAAAGGAACCACCCUCCGCGCGCCUGGGUGGGCAGGGGCGAGUGCAGGGACAGGAAAGGGCCCCUCCGCGCAUCCUGUCUCCCGCCCGCCCCCACCAUGGCGGUUCCCGCUCCAUGGUAUUAACCCUUCUCCCGCCAGCGGCUCCGAGGAAAGGGGAAAAAAAAGAAGAAGGCCGGAUCCUUGAGCUGGGAAGGCGAACCCAGGAAGUUGGGAGGAAGAUUGGGCAGCAACGAGGAGCAUUUGAAGUUUGAAGAUCAGUGGGUGGAACUCUCAACAUCCGUUCUUACAUUCCUAAUUCAUGUUGUAAAAUAAAACAAAACAGCCAGAUGGUGGCA
rnacentral:lncRNA from 1 species